rnacentral:rRNA from 1 species
UGCGUAGGCGGGUUUUUAAGUCAGGGGUGAAAUCCUGGAGCUCAACUCCAGAACUGCCUUUGAUACUGAAGAUCUUGAGUUCGGGAGAGGUGAGUGGAACUGCGAGUGUAGAGGUGAAAUUCGUAGGUAUUCGCAAGAACACCAGUGGCGAAGGCGGCUCACUGGCCCGAUACUGACGCUGAGGCACGAAAGCGUGGGGAGCAAACA